CGAGAAAACUGCGAUAAAAAAGUUUUAGGAAAGUUUUCCCCUCUUGCGCUGGUGUGCAGUCUGGACGCAGAUUGGAAAUCGAGGAGUCGCUUGUGCGCGCGGCGAGAUCUCAGAGUCAGGACUGCGCGUGCACGCGGCCUACCCCAUUCAUGCUGUGUGACCAAAGCUGAGAAAGCCAGUGGCCAAUGAGAACCUGCGAAGGGGUUCUGGGGUCCGUUGAUUGUGGAUAUGAGAGAGUGGACCGGUGUUAUACUCAAUAGAAAACAAAAGGUGCAAUCACUGGAGUCCCAACAUUAUGAAGAUGAUGAUGGUAAAGAUGAAGGUUGCACUAGGAACA